CUUUAAGUUGCACAGAGGCACUUUGUCCUGAGACAGGCUUAUUGAGACAUCAUAUUCUUUUCUUUGUCAAGCCUGAUGGGCUUAUUUCACACACAAAAUGAAAUCUCAAAGUUGUCAUUGUAGAAAGUCUGAAGAGUGGGUGGGGAACGGAAUGACUUUCUCAAAGAUGUCAGGAAGGUGCUUAGCCUGAGGUAGAAGGUGGUGUCUUGUAGUGGGGAGGUGUGGGCCAACCAGCCACAGCCAGACAGCUGUCACAAACUGCGCCACCUUAAGCAAGUGGCUUAACAUUUCUGUGCCUCAGUUUCCUUACCUGCGAAAUGGAAUAAUAACAGUAUCUGCCUCGUAGGAUUGUUAUGACAUAGACUAAAUAAGUGAAGGCACAUACAGUGCGUAAAUGCAAAAGCAGCUGUGCGUGUCAGGCACUGUCCUGCGCUCCCUACCAUCACUGCCGGCAGCAGCAGCAGCUGAGCCGUAAUGGGCACGAGCAGCAUGGCCAUCGCAUGAUGCAUCGGUUGGGAGCAUUCGGCUGCUGGUAAUAAACACCAGGAGUAGCUGUGGAUUAAUCUCGGCAUGGAUUCUCCUGGACCGCAGGAUAUCCUACCUGCCCUGCACUGGCAAUGUUCAUCUUGAUCACCUGGCCAAGAUAUUGUCGGAUUUCUUCACUGUGUAAUUAUUAUUUGAUACGGGUUGGAUCUGUGUCCCCACCCAAGUCUCAUGUUCAGCUGUAGUCCCCAGUGUUGGAGAGCACGGGCUCCCCAAAGGCCAGGAACGAGUCUGGUUUCUGGAACAGCACUGUCUCCUCAGCACCUAGACCUGGGCACAUAGCAGACAACCAAGGAAUGCCCAUCAACGAGAGGAGGCCUCACCUCAUGGCGGCCAUGUGGGGCAGGAAUGACUGUAAUCCCCCCUAACCAAUGGAACAGCUAAGACUCAGAGAGGCCUCCGUCGUUGCUCUGGGACCUCGUUGCUGACCCUGGAUGACAGACCACUGCCUAGGAUGAAAUUCCCCUCUGGAUGGAUGGCUUCUGGUUUGGUGAUGGAAUGGAUUCCAGGGCCUCUGAGGAAGGCAGGAAGCCUUGGGACUUGGCAAUCUCCACAGGAGAUGGGGUGUGUGCUAGGUGAGGCCCCCAUCACCAGGAGCAAGGCCUGGUCCACCCUGAGACCCAGCGCCCACUUACUGUCCAUGCCUUCACCUUGCUAAGUUAGUGUGUGGUCCACUUGCUAAGAGAAACAACAGGUAUUAAGGGUUUAAGAAAAAAUGAAACCCAAAACAAGCUCUGAAGUUCUGUAGACCUUGGCCAACUCUCAGCACAGCCACUUACUUGCUAGCUAAUCUUGAGCACGUCCCUUAACUUCUCUAACCUUUUUCCUCCAUUCGUAAAACUGGGAAAAUUUGCAUCUUUUUCGUGCAUUCGUUUUGAGAAAUAGAUGGAUAUGUGUGUGCCUGUCAGCUCGACGCUGGGUGCAGAGUGAGUGCGCUAAGCACGGUGGCUUCCUUGACUGUAGAGAUGCAUCCUAGCUCCUGCCUGGUCUGUCCCAGGUGGACAGAGGUGAUGGCAUCUGGAGGGGUCCCACCUCCAAUGUCUUAAUCCAGGGCCUUUCUGUGGCAUAGUGCUGAGCCAGCGUACUGAAAGGCCACAGAGAGGUGCAGCAGGUGGCGAGUUGAGCCCCCACCUCCCCAACCCCAGUGAUUUUCCCUGAAAAGACACCCCAUGCUUUGUUUUGUUGUCUGGCUUAUGUAAACUUGCCUCUUGUUUUAUAGUUGCUUCCCCAGCUUUAAACUAAAGGCUGUUAUUGACAGCCUAUAGUUGCUUCCCCAACGGCCAAUCCCUCCAGCUCCCCUCCUGCUUCCAGGCAAACAACCCCAGUCAUAAGGGCCUGCGAUGUUCCCAGUCCCAGGGAAUGAGUCCUGAUUGGUCUAAGACAGCUAAGACAAUUCUUUUCUACUUUAUCAAAUACAGAUGACCCCUGAACAGCACCAGUUUGAACUGGGGGGUCCACUUAUAUGUGGAGUUUCUCUCUCUGCCACCUCUGGGACAGCAAGACCAAUGCCUCCUCCCCCUCCUCCUCCUGAGCCUACUCACUGUGAGUAGGAUGAAGACCUUUAGGAUGAUCCAUUUCCACUUAAUCAAUAGCAGAUAUAUUUUCUCUUCCUUAUGAGUCUUUUAACAACAUUUUCUUUUCUCUAGCUUAUUUUAUUGUAAGAAUACGGUGUUGAAUGCAUAUAACGUGCAAAUACAUGUUAAUCAACUGUUUAUGUUACGGGUAUGGCUUCUGGCCAACAGUAAGCUAUUAAUAGUUAAGUUUUGGGGAAGUCAAAAGUUAUAUGCAAUUUUUUGACUGCACAGGGAGUCAGCACCCCUCACUCCUCAUUGUUCAGGGUCAACUGUACUUGGUUUCCAAGCCUCCCUUAUAAGUCGGUAUGGCCAUGGGACCCAGUUUUAGAUGUGAGAAGAGAAGAAGGGUUGCAUCUGGGAAGGAUUUCUUUCUGGAUGAAAGAUAGUCUUUUGAGGAGCGGCUCCUUGGUCCCUGCCCUGUCCCUCCUGCUGGAGAUGCUGCAUGCAAGGGCCUGAUGUCUGGAAUUGAAGCAUCCAUGUGGUGACCAUGAGACAAGAAGCAUGACAAUAAAAUUUCACUGGGUGGAAGAAUGAGGAAGUCUGGAUUCUUGAUGAUACUGUUGCCGUCUGAACAUGCCCUGUGACCCUGUACUUCUGGGCAUCUGGUUACAUGAGCAAUAAAUAUUCUUACGGCUAAAACCA
rnacentral:lncRNA from 1 species